rnacentral:rRNA from 1 species
GAAAUGGUCUGAAUGCACCUGUCCCUUUUGAUCUGGAAGCUAAGCAGGGUUGUGCCUGGUUACUCCUUGGAUGGGAGACCAACGAAGGGAUCCCAGGGAUCU